CAGAGGUAGUUUAAUAAAAAAAAUAUUAAUUUUGGGGAUUAAUGAUAAAGGGGGUUUUCUCUGA
rnacentral:tRNA from 1 species